rnacentral:rRNA from 1 species
UACGUAGGGUGCAAGCGUUGUCCGGAAUUAUUGGGCGUAAAGAGCUCGUAGGCGGUUUGUCGCGUCUGCCGUGAAAGUCCGGGGCUCAACUCCGGAUCUGCGGUGGGUACGGGCAGACUAGAGUGAUGUAGGGGAGACUGGAAUUCCUGGUGUAGCGGUGAAAUGCGCAGAUAUCAGGAGGAACACCGGUGGCGAAGGCGGGUCUCUGGGGCAGUAACUGACGCUGAGGAGCGAAAAGCGUGGGGGAGCGAACAGG